GAUGAACCCUGGCGGCGUGCCUAAUACAUGCAAGUCGAGCGAACAGACGAGGAGCUUGCUCCUCUGACGUUAGCGGCGGACGUGUGAGUAACACGUGGAUAACCUACCUAUAAGACUGGGAUAACUUCGGGAAACCGGAGCUAAUACCGGAUAAUAUAUUGAACCGCAUGGUUCAAUAGUGAAAGACGGUUUUGCUGUCACUUAUAGAUGGAUCCGCGCCGCAUUAGCUAGUUGGUAAGGUAACGGCUUACCAAGGCAACGAUGCGUAGCCGACCUGAGAGGGUGAUCGGCCACACUGGAACUGAGACACGGUCCAGACUCCUACGGGAGGCAGCAGUAGGGAAUCUUCCGCAAUGGGCGAAAGCCUGACGGAGCAACGCCGCGUGAGUGAUGAAGGUCUUCGGAUCGUAAAACUCUGUUAUUAGGGAAGAACAAAUGUGUAAGUAACUAUGCACGUCUUGACGGUACCUAAUCAGAAAGCCACGGCUAACUACGUG
rnacentral:rRNA from 1 species